rnacentral:pre_miRNA from 1 species
UUACUACUCCCUCCGUCCAACAGAAGGAUGUCUCAAAUUUGUCAAAAUUUAAAAAUAUCUAGAUGUGACUUAGUAUAUAUAUGCAUUUAAAUUUAGUCAAAAUUGAGACAUCCUUGUUGUUGGACGGAGGGACAUG